CAAAUUAUUGGACUUAGUAGUUAGGGGUCAUGUGGGUGCAGAUGGAGGAUGUUCUCCUCAGUUUGAUUGUUAUGGACAGCUCUGAUGUGUCUCUGCCAAAUCUGACCUGCCAAAACUAAUGAACAGUGUUCCCCGUAAGCUAUGCACUUGUGCAGCCACACAGGAGAAUCAGAUGCCGACCAACUGAUUCCCAGAAAGCCCACCCUUAGGUUUUUUUGUUUCAACUAGCAGUGCACAGUCACACGUGCCUCUGUACGCAUAACAAUUAUUUUGCACAUAGAUGGAAAAGAUAGAGAACAUUACUGAUGAGGACUGUUUUGUCUACUGAUGCUAGCUGUAUCUGAUCUAGUACUGUCUGACUAGGUCUUCUGUGGCCCACGGUUGCAGCUCCUGUCUGGUGUGCUGCUGUCACUCCACUAGGCAAAUUGUUCUCACCAGGGAUACACGGAGGUCAUCCAUCUCAUCUAUAUAAUAGUAUAGUUUUACAACAGGAUGCAUCAAAAGCACUAGCAAAACCAAUACAAACUAAAAUUUCAUUCCAUGACUUGUUUAUACGGCUUUAUAUACUAUACAUUCCAAUUGAUUAAUUUUAUAAUUGUGUGGUAAGGAGAAAGUAAGCAAUUUUUCAGUAAUAGUGUGCUGUGAUACUUUUGUAUUAUCUGAUUUUGUAAGCAAGUAGUUUUUAAGUGAGGUGAAACUUAGGGGUAUGCAAGACAAAGCGGAGCAAUGAAAGGGAUACAGUAGUCUGGAAAAGAUGAGAGCCACGGUACUAGGAUAAUUCUGAUCCGUUGUCACCAUCCAACUAGUUUGGCUUCAACUCACCACAGCUGGCUCCAAGGGGAUGCUGGAGUUCAAGACUCUGUAUUGGAACCUCUCUCCAGAACAAAGCGAGACAUCAGAGUCCUCACUUACAUUUGAUGCUUCCACAUGCUAGAUGUGCAUUCACACACAUUUUAACAGUUCCUAAAAAGACAACAAAGAAAUACAAAAUAAAACACGAUGCACUUUAUUUAACAAAAGCAUUAUUAAGUAAAAGCAAAUUAUACCCUGCCCCUUAAUUUUACCUUUUUACUUCUAGGGGAAGAAAGAGUGGAAGAAGUUACUCACCUUUGUGCAGUAACGAUGGUUCUUCGAGAUGUGUCCCUGUGGGUGCUCCACUCUAGUUUCUCUAGGUGUCGGGCUUAUCCCAGUGCCGCUGGUUGGAGGAUUUUUCAGCUGUCAUCAGCCGGACCGUGCAUACGCGGUUAUCGUCUCGCGCUGUUCACGCCUUUCUACUUUCACACAGUCUGGCUCCCGCCAGUUCUUCUCACCGCUAGGUAUCUGGAACGAGACAAAAACAAACCCUGGAGCAGGGAGGAGGGUAGGACGUGGAGCACCCAUGGGGACACAUCCGAAGAACCAUCGUUACUGCACCGAGAGACGAAAGAGAAAGUCCGGAGCUCUGCAGGUGGACGACAUAGUUAAGGAUAUGGUGUAGAGGAGUGCCCUGAGGCUUGAUGUUGCUGCAAGAGCACCUAUGCGAAUAUCUACGCCAUUUUGCAAGAUGACCAAUCCUCACACCGAGGAGAAGAAGGAAGCUCCGCCAGCAAUCAAGGAUGGUUGAGAAGAACUGGCGGGAGCUGAAGGAGCGAACGGGGCGAGACGCUAACCACACAUGCAUGGUCCAGCUGACACUUACACAUCCUGGAAGAGGAGAAGGAAUCCUCCUCAUUUGAAUAUACAGAGAAUGAGGAGCACAGGGAGAAGAUUGCAGGGGGCAG